CCCAAGGAUUAUCGGUCCCUGAAAACACAGUAUCUGCAGAGCUACGGCCCCGAGCACCUGCUAACCUUCUCCAACCUUCGGAGAGCCGGGCUUCUAACAGAGCAGGCUUCGGGGGACACCCUCACUGCAGUAGAGAAUAAAGUGAGCAAGCUGGUGACUGACAAGGCCGCAGGUGAGCCUCCUUCUCUCCACCCUGGGGGCUGUUCCUCUCCUUACAGCUGGGAGAGAGAGCCCUGGAGGCAGAGAGGACUGGGAGGGCUGGUUUCACAUAAACCACAAACUUCCCCAUGUGCUGACCUUUGACCUGAGUUCUCACUUAACCCUCCAGAGGCAGGUCGUCUUUCCCUUGAUUUUCUUCUAAAGAAAAUGCAGCUUAGAGAAAUGGAGUAGCUGUUUUCACAGUCCCUCAAGACAGCAGGCUGUUUUUAUUCUGAAGCUGAUGCCUACCCUA
rnacentral:lncRNA from 1 species